rnacentral:rRNA from 1 species
CCUACGGGAGGCAGCAGUGGGGAAUUUUCCGCAAUGGGCGAAAGCCUGACGGAGCAAUACCGCGUGAGGGAAGAAUGCCUACGGGUUGUAAACCUCUUUUAUCAGGGAGGAACAAAAUGACGUGUACCUGAUGAAUAAGCAUCGGCUAACUCUGUGCCAGCAGCCGCGGUAAGACAGAGGAUGCAAGUGUUAUCCGGAAUUACUGGGCGUAAAGCGUCUGUAGGUUGUUUAACAAGUCAACUGUUAAAUCUUGAAGCUUAACUUCAAAAUCGCAGUCGAAACUGUUAAACUAGAGUAUAGUAGAGGUAAAGGGAAUUUCCAGUGGAGCGGUGAAAUGCGUAGAUAUUGGGAAGAACACCGAUGGCGAAAGCACUUUACUGGGCUAUUACUGACACUCAGAGACGACAGCUAGGGUAGCAAAUGGGAUUAGAUACCCCAGUAGUCCUAGCCGUAAACUAUGGAUACUAGAUGUUGAACAGACCGACCUGUGCAGUAUUAAAGCUAACGCGUUAAGUAUCCCGCCUGGGAAGUAUGCUCGCAAGNGUAGAAACUUAANGAAUUGACGNUGAGAGNGCGACGACGACGACGAGGAGAG